rnacentral:rRNA from 1 species
UACGGAGGGUGCAAGCGUUAUCCGGAUUCACUGGGUUUAAAGGGUGCGUAGGCGGGCAGGUAAGUCCGUGGUGAAAUCUCUGAGCUUAACUCAGAAACUGCCAUGGAUACUAUUUGUCUUGAAUAUUGUGGAGGUAAGCGGAAUAUGUCAUGUAGCGGUGAAAUGCUUAGAUAUGACAUAGAACACCAAUUGCGAAGGCAGCUUACUACACAGUUAUUGACGCUGAGGCACGAAAGCGUGGGGAUCAACCAGG